rnacentral:lncRNA from 1 species
GAUUUCCUCCCGGCCCCCGCCCUCCCACAGCCCUUUGCAGGACGUGCAACAGGGUUGUGGCUCGUGUGUUCGGUCUCUGCCUGCUGAAACCCCUUAUGGGAGGUGGAGCAUGCAGACGGACGGGUGCAGGAGCCAGGGUGCAAAAGCUGGGGCGCUGGGCUUCCAGCCCCACGGCAGUGUCCAGGGGCAGGAUCCCGUGAUUCCCGGAGCCCAAAUGGGCGUGUGUUACAGUGUGCUCUUUUAGCCUUACCAUCAGCUGACGGCUUAAGUGUUAACCAGCUCAAUAGACCCUCUGCCUUUUUGCAAGCGCAGAGGGUCAGUGUGACAGUUUCUGUAUCUCAGCUCUUGUCUCACCUCCCAGAAGAAUCAGGUCACACAUGGACUUGAAGGAUGACGGGCCUGUCUAAUUGCAGGAAAACAAACUCAGGGCUCCCACUGAUUCUACAUUACGAUAAAUACCUGGAGUGGGAUUGCUAGAUCACAUGGAAAACACAGAUCCUGGUGCCGAACAUGAGGACAGGGCAGGCCGAAGGAGAAAGUGGAAGGAGGGGAGCUUCUCUCUCAGCCUCAUCCUUCUGGGCCUGGAUGCUGGAGAGUCAUGAGGUGCUUCAGAGUACUCUGGGUGAGGAGGGAAAGAUGGUGCCCACCACAUGGAGGCCAGCCUAGGUCUUGUAUGAAACCUGUGAGCUAGCUGAAAGCAGAGAACCCAGCAGAGGAUUCUGGGAAGGUCCUGGGGGAUGGCAGAGCCAGCAGAGAGAGGGUAUGGAUCCACCAGGCAUAGGAUGGAACAGAGCACUAUUGACCACAGUGAACUGGGGCAUGGGCAAUCAAUAAACACAUAUUAGAUUAAGCUAUUGAGACUCAGGGAUUUUUAUACAACUGACAUUCCCUAAGAAGCCAUGAUCUUCCUGUCUCAGGAGGUGCAUAAGCAGUGGUUGAAUGUUCAACAGUCAAGAAUGUUAUAAAAAGAGGUUCUUGGGAGAGUGGACCUGAUGGCCAGCAAAAAUCAUAGCUCACAUUUAUUGAGUUAUUAUGGCUCAGGCAUGUGCACAUAUUCUUUUAUUUAAAUCUACAAUAUGCUUUAUCAUGCUCAUUUUAUACAUGAGGAACACAAGGCAUGGAGAGGUUAGAUAACAUGCCUAAGAUCAUGAAGCAAGCAAGGGGGAGAAAAGAUACCCUUCUCACUCCUUCCAGACAGCUCACUUCACCACCACUCCCCACUGUCUCUAAAGCAAAAGUUAUUUGAAGGCUUAGGGACUGGUUUGGUAUUAUCCAUGCAGGGCGGUUUGUUUUGUUUUUCUUUUAAAAUUUCAGCCUAUGCUUAAAAGAUUUCAUGUAAAAAUUCUGUUUUCUAGUUUCUCUUGAAAAUUAAGAAGAUCUGGUAAAACUGGGCUUGAAGACCAUUAUGGUAACAGGCUGCUGAAGCUGAGGAGAGGGCCCCUUCAGAUGGGCAUAAGCACUGCUCCCCCUCCCCAACCCCCCUUUUAGGUUACUAUCAGACUCUGGAAGCUUCUGAAUGUGUGAACCCUGAAAGAGUCCAUCUAAAGCUAAGUUCUCCCCAGGGGUAGAGCCCAAUGCUGGGCAUACAGUAGGG